AUUGCGGUGAACUGCUACAAGAUCUGACUGUUUGGUAUAUUGCAGUGGUGGAGGAAGCCCAAAGUUACUUUUCAAUGACCCCCACCAGCCCUUCCUGCUCAGCUGGUGCACUGCAUGCUGUGAAGGGAAUCGACCUGCUAUUCCUGGAGUGUAAGCUAUUCAGUUAAGAUUCAUAAGAUCAAUUCUACUCUGGCCAAGAGGACACAAAAGAACAUCCUGCUCGAUUCAUCCACUAUGGAAGUUCUCCUGCUGCAGAGGUGGAGAUGGCACACAGAUCCCCAGUGAUGUGCUCUGUCCAGGCUAAGUCUGGGUCUGGAAGUUGCCAGAUUUAAGAAUGAGUUUGCUACAGACAAAGACUCUGUUCACCUGAAGGUCUCAGCAGGAACUGGAGGUUCCCUUCACACGUACAAGAUGCUACUGACAAGACGAGGCCUGCAUCCUGCUCAGGAGAACACCUCAGUGCCUUCCACUGGAGGACUGUGAGGACUACAAAAGCCUUCCAGACAUUCUAAGAAGAGAAAAUGGGAAGAAAGCAGUACCAAGAAAAGCAAACUAUCUGAAUAUCUGAGAGGAGAGAGGAGACUCCUGUGGAGAUUCCAGGCAUGGUCACGCUACCUUACUAUUAAGCUCAGGCAAUAUCCCGGAAGCAAUGAAAACAACUACACGAAGUUCACACUGAAGGAAGUAGGUGGUCGCAGAGCAUGGAUUACAUGCGGUAGUUUGCACAUGGAUGUUUCUAUAUUUCAAAGGAAGGACUGUAAUAUUACUCCCAACUCCAGCCUUUUGGGUUUUCGUCCAGAUGGAUUCAAUCCCAAGCCACUGAGGAAAUGAAGCUAACCAAACACAAGGAGAUAAAUUACUCGAUACAAGGAGUUAAUAAAGCUUUGUUACUAAAUCCAGAGCUAAGCAUACAAGACUAAAAACACAGAAGCUGUAUGUUUCUACAUAGUAUGCUAUGAUGAAGUUUAGUCACCCUCUUGAAGACAUAUGAGGCCAUUAGACACCUGGGUUGUAGCUGUAGUUCAGGAAAAGCUGAGCAUCAAAGGUGAGGAUCUAGAAAAGCUAGCUGUAAGGGUGGUUAAGUCAGCCAGCAGGACACCAUUUGUGUCAUAUGGCUCUCCAAAUCAAGGUGCUUAACAUGAGGCACUGGGGAGAAAGUUUCAGAGACCAAUAUUGCCAAGAAAUCUCUGUACCACUGGGCACCUUUUCCAAAAACACAGGAGGAAGUAAAGAUGUUUUUCCUUUACCCAGUAACCUACCAAUUAUAAAACUCAGCCAUGAGACUGAAACUCUAAAUUCAAGACCAGCAGCCUAGCUGAACACUCUCACUUGUCUACAGAAAAUUACAGGGAUAAGAAAGUGAACUGAUAGUGCUCUGAGCCAAAAGAAG
ensembl:lncRNA